rnacentral:lncRNA from 1 species
UUUUUUUUUAGAGUCUGGUUCUGUUGCACAGGCUGGAGUGCAGUGGUGCCAUAUCGGCUCACUGAAACUUCCACCUCCCGGGUUCAAGUGCUUCUCCUACCUCAGCCUCCUGAGUAGCUGGGAUUAUAGGCACCUGCCACCACGCCACCACUUCUGGCUAAUUUUUGUAUUUUUUAGUAGAGUUGGGGUUUCACCAUAUUGGCCAGGCUGGUCUUGAACUCCUUACCUCUGGUGAUCUGUCCGCCUCGGCCUCCUAAAGUGCUGGGAUUACAGGCAUGAGCCACUGCGCCCAGCCUGAAAAGUGUAGUUUUGAUAAUCGGUGCAAAGAUUGGAUUUAUGUUCUGAUCUGACAUAAAUCAGGCUCGAAAUUUAUUGGCAGAAAUAGAAGUUGCAUAAUUACUCGGCUGUGGUUAUGCAUUCUUGACACAUUUAUCUCUCUGAGCCUGAACUCUGUACAUGCAUGGACACAUAUGAAAUUCCCCACUCAUGAUGCCUAUUUUCUGGCAUUUGGAAAUAGAUUUAUGAAGGUAUCACUGUAUAAUAUAUAGUUUCACUUUUAUAAUUUGGAUGGUUUAGGGUAGUGAUGAGAAGAAUCUAAACUUCUGUGUGCUAAAAUCAUAACUUAUUCCUUUGAGAAUCUGAGAUGGAUGUACAAAUGCAAACACGAAAUGAAAAAUAAUUAAUUUGGAAAUUAUUUGACUGGUUAUUUUGACUAGCAAAUUUUUUUGGCAUCAGGCUGAAAGCUUCCUUUUCUGACAGGCUCAAUACUCUCUACUUAGCCUAUAUGAAAUAAGCGUUCUGUCCAAGUUGCACAACCAAGAUGAUUCAUCAUGCUUUUGAAAGCUAUUCCAUUAAGCUCUCAGGUCUGAUCUUCCUGAUUCUUCUGCCAUUUGAAGAUCCUUAUUAACUCUCUCCUGGAAAUCUUCCCCCAGUAUGUCUUGAGCUAAAAUACUGCAUGAAUGACAUUUCUGAAAAUAAACUAUGCCCUGGGUGAGGAAUCAAAGGACUCAAGAGUACAGAUGAUAAACUUUUUUUUUUCUUUUUUGAAACGGGUAUCACUCUGUCACCCGGGCUGGAGUGCAGUGGCACGAUCUCGGCUCACUGCAACCUCUGUCUCCUGGCUCAAGCGAUCAUCCCAUCUCAGCCUCCCAAAUAGCUGGAACCACAGGAGCACACUACCACACCCGCCUAACUUUUUGUAUUUUUGGUAGAGACAGGGUUUCGCCACGUUGCCCAGGCUUCUCUUGAACUCCUGAGCUCAAGGGAUUCAUUGCCUUGGCCUCCUGAAGUGCUGGGACUACAGUUGUGAGCCACCAUGCCCAGCCCUAGAUGAUAAACUUAUAUAAUGGUUUUCUCUACCAAUAAUAAAGACUUUGAAGAGAAAGAAAAAUCUGUGGGUUGAAUGUACAAUUAAAAAGAUGGUAAAGAGAAGUGACAUUUAUAAGACGAAGCCGUGGUUUAUGUACUGGGAUGAAUGAUGUAUUCUUGGUGAGGGAAGGAUAAUUGACCAGAAUCUGGGUGACCCAACUGAAAAACUUUAAGUAAAGGAAGAAAGAAGGACAAUCACGUUGAUAAACCUAUGAAUGUGGUUCCUAUGGAAGACAACAAGCGUAAGAUGAGAAUAUGAAUAAAAGUAGCAGAUAUGCCUGGGGAUUUGCACCCCCAAAAUAUUGGAAAGCAGAGAGGAGACGGAAAUAAUACUAAUAGCCUCAAAACCAUUAUACUAAUAAUAGCUGUCAUUGAUUGAGUACUUACUAUCUGUAUAUCUCUUUUCAUCUUAGAAACAACCUUACAAAGUAGGUACUGUUGUUACUUCCAUUUCACAGAUGGAGAAAAAUGAGGCUUAUGGGAGUUAAAUAACUUGCACAAGGACAUGUACAGCUGGUAGGCAGAAAAACAAGGAUUUGAACAUGGGCAGUCUAGUCCAGAGGUCACUUUAUCAUACUGUCUCAGUGUGCAUUGUGAAUGAACCAAGUUGAGGUUAUACCAUAGUGUGAUUUUUUGAGACAUGGUGGGAAGGGGCUUCAGAUUAAAAUACAGUGACGGAGAAGCAUGCCAUAUUCCCAAAUGAUAGGCUGUAAUAAGGGGAGACUGAAUGGUAUGAUAUAUCAAUAAGAUAUUCACUUGAGUAACCCAAAAACAGAAACACUGUGGAGGAGUGAGUCAGAGAAAAAUGUAAGUGACCUGCUCUGGAACUUUGGUAUAGGCCACCUGGCCAGGAGAAAAUUAAUCAUGCAUUUUAGACAGAUGAAAAAAAAACAAUGUAGAAGUAAUGUAUAGAAUUGGUCAUUGAAUAUAUAUUUUAUACAGUGGUGAUGAGAAACUUCAACAAUUGGAUUUUGCUAGAGGGUUUGGUGGACAUGCUCUUGACUUUUCAGAAGAAAGUGAAAGUCGAUCUUUUUUUCUGUUAAUAGCUAGGAAUGGAAAGGAUAAACAUUGUCAAACACGUGCCUCAGCUUUUGAGAUGGCAGGAUUUUUAAGUCUGCAGAAGAUAGGUAUGGUUCUCCCAAGAGAAGGUACCUGGAAAGGGCUCAAAUACAAUUCUAGCUGUAAUCGGUAAUACACGGUUCUGCUAGGAAAGAAACAUGGGUCUUAGGACGCUAUAAGGAGAACGUGCCACUUAUAAAGUUGUGACCUCGCCAACUCCAGACCCACGCUCCUGUAUUCCACUGAGGCUAGGGCUCUGCACAGCACCUUUCUGCUUGGCCAGCUGACACCCUGUUAGGCUCUGCCAGGGCACCAGAGAGAGACCACAAGCCCGGAUGAAGGGACGGGGGUUCCUUGCUUCUGUUGGCAAACAGGUCUUCAGGUCACCCGAGCAAUGGCAGUGCCUUCCUGAAGCAGCAACUAAAUCUAGUUUGCAAGAUUUGUUUGUUUGUUUGUUUGUUUGUUUUAACACUUGCCAUAUCAACCUUCCAACUUGUCCCCCAAGACAGUUGGUCUGUGUCUUGGAAAUCUGGGUGUCAUGAGGCCACUCUUUCAAGUUCAGAGACACCAACACCAGCCCAGCAGCUCUCUGGGAGCCCUCCCUAAAGUUUCUCUGUUUCCCUUAUAGAAGGUUCCUGUUUACUGGGAACUGCAUUCCCUAAAGCGACUCGAGAGCCAGCUCUUUCUGUGAGAGUAAGAACCUCUUUUGUGUAUCCCUGAGAAACCUAUGUCAGUUCUUUAAAUUAAAUUACGGAAAUAUAGUCCACCUUCCUUGGCAUCACUGAACCUUACUGCUGUUUUCUGGAACUUUGAAAAACUCCCUGUACUUUUGGCGAAACAGAAUUCCUUCAUGGUGUUAGAAUGAGCACCUGGGUCCCUGGCUCCAGGUGCAUCUUGACCUUACACAUCAAGCAUCCUCUGAGGCGGGAUCAUUCCACAUCCACACCUUACCUCACUCUUCUGGUCUUGGUUUUUUCUGUUGUUGUUUUGUUUUGUUAUUUUCUUUUUGAGAUGGAGUUUCGCUCUUUUUGCCCAGGCUGGAGUGCAAUGGCGCAAUCUUGGCUCACUGCAACUUCCUUGGUUCAAGCGAUUCUCUUGUCUCAGCCUCCCAAGUAGUUGGGAUUACAGGUGUGCAUCAUCAUGCCCAGCAAAUUUUGUAUUUUUAGUAGAGACGGAGUUUCACCAUGUCGGCCAGGCUGGUCUUGAACUCCUGACCUCAAGUGAUCUGCCCACCUCUGC